UACGUAGGGCGCAAGCGUUGUCCGGAAUUAUUGGGCGUAAAGAGCUUGUAGGCGGUUUGUCGCGUCUGCUGUGAAAAUCCGGGGCUCAACCCCGGACUUGCAGUGGGUACGGGCAGACUGGAGUGUGGUAGGGGAGAAUGGAAUUCCCGGUGUAGCGGUGAAAUGCGCAGAUAUCGGGAAGAACACCCGUGGCGAAGGCGGUUCUCUGGGACGGUACUGACGCUGAGACGCGAAAGCGUGGGGAGCGAACAGG
rnacentral:rRNA from 1 species